rnacentral:lncRNA from 1 species
UGCAGCCGUUGUCCGUUCUACAAGAUCGUUUGCUGCAGGCAAGGUCUCUACAAGAGUCUCUAAGGGGAGAUUCCCUCAUUCAUCGAAUUUGCGGAGGAGGUCCAACCAGCUUUUGGGGGGCUUUCCGGUUUGCCAAACUCUCACUCAAACGGGGAAACCGAUGGUUCACGACCUUAGAUAGAGAACUUCACUGACCUCUCCUGGAUUUGCUUGAACAGGGAAAACAACUAUGAUGCCAAAGUCCCAGCGCAAACAUUUGUUAAGGCGCCCCGAUCAAGCGGAUAUAGGAAGAAGAUUGAAAGAGAUGGUUAUACCAGGGGACAGCAGGAGAUGCUUCUUUUCGGGAACCAAGAUGGAUGGCCAGAGAGGAAGAUGAGAUUCAUUGGCAGCAGGAUGAUAAGGUAUUGAUCUUUCUGAGAGCGGCGGGGCCGUGACGAUAUAAAACGAGGGAGCCUCCGGUCCCCCUGCUGUGUCCCUUUCAGGUUCCUCGGCAGCCUGGCACGUUUUCAAGAAGAGCGCUCGGAGAGAUGCAUUUUCCGGUGCUGAUGUGUGCUCUGGCCGUGCUGUCGCCCACCGGCCCAACCGACGCCUACCGGGUGGACUUGGAGACGGACGGGCUGGAAGAUUUCGUUCCAACAGAUUUCAACUUGGACAGCCCAGCAGGGUUUGUACCAGACAACACACCUUCCUCGGGACCAUCCAGGAACGUGAACUCAGCUCUCUCGGUGCCGGAGGAGGGAAUGAGCCCAUUUCAAAAGGCCGGCCAGUGGAAGGGUGGCAAGGCGUCUCUUCAGGAGGAAACGCCGGAUGAACUGGUGGAGGAUAUCAAGACAAUCCUGUGGAAACUGGCUGCAGCAGACCAACUCGGAAGGCAUAGCUUCAUCAGAUCGGACCAGAUGCCUCAGAAAACCAACAAGAGAGCUUGCUUCUGGAAGUAUUGUGUCACCAGCUGAGGACUGCAGGAAGGACUCCAGUGCCCUCUCCAACUUCCUCCUAACAGCCUGCAGCUCAAAACUCAGCCAGAAAGUGCUUGCAGGGCCCGGGACUCACCUCUCUCGACUGCUGUCUUCCUUCCCCCAUCAAUCACCCAAGUUUUGAUUUCCAGCCUGAAAGAAUCUGCCACUUUUUGUAAACAACAUCUUCAAGGCAUCAUCUGUGUAAACCACCUCUUGAAUAUUUGAGCAGAAAAAUAUGAUUGCUUAAUCAUUUAGAUCAAGUAUUCUAAACUGAAAUAACUAAAGUUACUCAACAUUGGUUACGUUUCAACAGUUAGCAAUCUACCAAGGCAAAGAAGUGGGGUGGAGUUUUCAGACCUUGGUUUAUUCAAUUAUUUUCAAAGUCAUUCUUUUUAUAAGGGACUUUUUCUUUUCCCACCACCUUUAAUAGGCAGGGUGAAGUGUGGACAAAGAGAAAUAUUAGCUUCCAGAACCUCGAACGCUAGAGACGACGUCUCGGUGUACAGAUGGCUGAUAACCAAACACAGUUAUUCAGGAAAUGGAUAACAACCAGCUGAGAGUGAAUGAAUAAAUGCCUGAUAUCUCCCAGCCCUAAAUGUGAAAUUAAACCAGAAAAAGAAGAAAAAAAGCCAAAAAAUUUCCAGGCUAUGAGGCAACUUUUAAAAUCUUUUUUUUUCCUGUAAUGAUCUUUAGGUUUCUUGCGCUAGUUCCCUGGGAAUGAAUGCCCCUUUCACCCAUUUUAUUUAAUAAAUCCUGUUAUGUUGAAUUAUUCCUGGAUUCACUGUGGGUUGAAUUUCAAUUCUACUCUCUCAGUCUUUCCCUUCUUACGUGCCUGGCUCCAGCCGAUGCUUUUUAUGUUCAUGAAUAUAAAACGCUCAUGGCCAUAGGGAGAUGGGUGCGAGAAUUCCUUCCUAUUUUCUUCUUUAUCCAGACUCCCAAUAGAUGGUGUUUCAGAGCCCUGCAGUUUGUCCAGUGGGAGGAGUGCUGCGUGGCUCGGUGGAAAGAGCCCGGAAUUGGGAGGCAGAGGUCAUGAGUUCGAAUUCCAGCUCCGCCACUUGUCAGCUGUGUGACAGUGGGCAAGUCUCUUAACUUCUCUGUGCCUCAGUUACCUCAUCUGUAAAUUGGGGAUUAACUGUGAGCCUCACGUGGGGCAACCUGAUUACCCUGUAUCUACCCCGGUGCUUAGAACAGUCCUUGGCGCAUAGUAAGCACUUAACGGAUACCAACAUUAUUAUUAUUAUGGAAUUCAGGAGAUCCGGAUUCUCAUCCCGAUUCUGCCUUUAGCCGGUUUAUGUGGUGAUCCUGGGCAAGUCACUUGACUUCUCCGUGCCUCAUUUUCCUCAUCUGUAAAAUGGGAAUAAAGACCGUGAACCCCAUGUGGAUAGGGACUGUGCCCACUCCGAUUAUCUUGUAUCUAUCCCACCACUUAGUACAGUGCCUUGCACACAGUACGUGUUUAGCAAAUACCACAAUAAGACCAAAUACCACAGUAAGACCACACGUGCAUUUUGCAGUGAUGAGUGUCUCUGUCUACCUCCUUGCAUUUUGCACUCCUUGUCCUAGUGGAAACAUGCCUGGCAGGAUGAGAAGUUAUGGGGUGUGAGUGGUCCUGCCUAUUCACCAUUAUCAAUUCUUCAAUGUUGUUAGGUGGCCUAGUGGGAAGAGUGCAGGUCGAGGUCACACAGGCUCUGCUGCUUGCCUGCUGUGUGGUGUGACCUUGGUCAAGUCACUUAACUGCUCUGGGCUUCAGUGUCCUCAUCUGUCACGUGGGUAUUCAGUAUCUGUCCUCUCUCCUAUUUAGACUGUGUGCUCCAUGUGGUUCAGGGAUUGUGUCUGGCCUGAUUACCUUGCAUCUACCACAGCAUUUAGUACGGUGCUUAAGUUACAGUUAGCACUUAGUAUGGCAAUUUAUUAUUAUUAUUAGGAUCUCAGUCCUAAGGCUUUCCAGAUAGGAGACUCUAUCAGAUAGGAAGAGUUCAGCUCUGCCCUGUAGCUUGAUCAAGCCAUCGCUUUCAAAAUAUGGGCGGGGGUGAAAAGGAGGUGUACUUGACAUAGGUAAGCAUCUUUCAGAGGAUAAAUGACUUGCCUUUAUGAACAAGCUUUUUAAGAGAAUAGGGUGUCCAUUUCACAGUUUUCUUCUAUCACCCCAAGGGGAAGGAGCCAUAUUGGAUUUAUUAACAGGUUUUACAAAAUGUUUGGGUAAACACCCGAAACAGGCUCAAAAGGAGUUGAUCUCCUAUUUGGAAAAGAUUGUACUCAUGUUAACACUAGGGUUUUAGGGCUGACAUGACUGAACCUUCUGUAUAUAAGGGAUGCUAAUGUGGGUCAUAGAUUUUUCCGCCUGCCAGCAAUAUGGGGUUAUGUCAUAGCUGGAUCUUAGUAUUCCUGGGCCUGUAGCAACUCUAUAUUUCAAAAGAUUGCCUCUUUCUUUGUUCAAGUUGCUUUCCUCACAUGGGAUAAGGGAAGCAGUCCUCUCCCCCAAUAAAGUAUAAUAAUAAUGGUAUUUGUUAAGCGCUUACUAUGUGCAAAGCACUAUUCUAAGCGCUGGGGGGAUACAAGGUGAACAGGUUGUCCCACAUGGGGUUCACAGUCUUCAUCCCUAU